UAGGGAAUCUUCGGCAAUGGGGGCAACCCUGACCGAACAACGCCGCGUGAGUGAAGAAGGUUUUCGGAUCGUAAAGCUCUGUUGUAAGUCAAGAACGGGUGUGAGAGUGGAAAGUUCACACUGUGACGGUAGCUUACCAGAAAGGGACGGCUAACUACGUGCCAGCAGCCGCGGUAAUACGUAGGUCCCGAGCGUUGUCCGGAUUUAUUGGGCGUAAAGCGAGCGCAGGCGGUUUGAUAAGUCUGAAGUUAAAGGCUGUGGCUCAACCAUAGUUCGCUUUGGAAACUGGCAAACUUGAGUGCAGAAGGGGAGAGUGGAAUUCCAUGUGUAGCGGUGAAAUGCGUAGAUAUAUGGAGGAACACCGGUGGCGAAAGCGGCUCUCUGGUCUGUAACUGACGCUGAGGCUCGAAAGCGUGGGGAGCGAACAGG
rnacentral:rRNA from 1 species